rnacentral:rRNA from 1 species
AUUGAACGCUGGCGGCAGGCCUAACACAUGCAAGUCGAGCGGAUGAAGGGAGCUUGCUCCUGGAUUCAGCGGCGGACGGGUGAGUAAUGCCUAGGAAUCUGCCUGGUAGUGGGGGAUAACGUCCGGAAACGGGCGCUAAUACCGCAUACGUCCUGAGGGAGAAAGUGGGGGAUCUUCGGACCUCACGCUAUCAGAUGAGCCUAGAUCGGAUUAGCUAGUUGGUGGGGUAAAGGCCUACCAAGGCGACGAUCCGUAACUGGUCUGAGAGGAUGAUCAGUCACACUGGAACUGAGACACGGUCCAGACUCCUACGGGAGGCAGCAGUGGGGAAUAUUGGACAAUGGGCGAAAGCCUGAUCCAGCCAUGCCGCGUGCGUGAAGAAGGUCUUCGGAUUGUAAAGCACUUUAAGUUGGGAGGAAGGGCAGUAAGUUAAUACCUUGCUGUUUUGACGUUACCAACAGAAUAAGCACCGGCUAACUUCGUG